rnacentral:rRNA from 1 species
GAUGAACGCUGGCGGCGUGCCUAAUACAUGCAAGUCGAGCGAACGGACGAGAAGCUUGCUUCUCCGAUGUUAGCGGCGGACGGGUGAGUAACACGUGGAUAACCUACCUAUAGGACUGGGAUAACUUCGGGAAACCGGAGCUAAUACCGGAUAAUAUUUUGAACCGCAUGGUUCAAAAGUGAAAGACGGUCUUGCUGUCACUUAUAGAUGGAUCCGCGCUGCAUUAGCUAGUUGGUAAGGUAACGGCUUACCAAGGCAACGAUGCAUAGCCGACCUGAGAGGGUGAUCGGCCACACUGGAACUGAGACACGGUCCAGACUCCUACGGGAGGCAGCAGUAGGGAAUCUUCCGCAAUGGGCGAAAGCCUGACGGAGCAACGCCGCGUGAGUGAUGAAGGUCUUCGGAUCGUAAAACUCUGUUAUUAGGGAAGAACAUAUGUGUAAGUAACUGUGCACAUCUUGACGGUACCUAAUCAGAAAGCCACGGCUAACUACGUGCCAGCAGCCGCGGUAAUACGUAGGUGGCAAGCGUUAUCCGGAAUUAUUGGGCGUAAAGCGCGCGUAGGCGGUUUUUUAAGUCUGAUGUGAAAGCCCACGGCUCAACCGUGGAGGGUCAUUGGAAACUGGAAAACUUGAGUGCAGAAGAGGAAAGUGGAAUUCCAUGUGUAGCGGUGAAAUGCGCAGAGAUAUGGAGGAACACCAGUGGCGAAGGCGACUUUCUGGUCUGUAACUGACGCUGAUGUGCGAAAGCGUGGGGAUCAAACAGGAUUAGAUACCCUGGUAGUCCACGCCGUAAACGAUGAGUGCUAAGUGUUAGGGGGUUUCCGCCCCUUAGUGCUGCAGCUAACGCAUUAAGCACUCCGCCUGGGGAGUACGACCGCAAGGUUGAAACUCAAAGGAAUUGACGGGGACCCGCACAAGCGGUGGAGCAUGUGGUUUAAUUCGAAGCAACGCGAAGAACCUUACCAAAUCUUGACAUCCUUUGACAACUCUAGAGAUAGAGCCUUCCCCUUCGGGGGACAAAGUGACAGGUGGUGCAUGGUUGUCGUCAGCUCGUGUCGUGAGAUGUUGGGUUAAGUCCCGCAACGAGCGCAACCCUUAAGCUUAGUUGCCAUCAUUAAGUUGGGCACUCUAAGUUGACUGCCGGUGACAAACCGGAGGAAGGUGGGGAUGACGUCAAAUCAUCAUGCCCCUUAUGAUUUGGGCUACACACGUGCUACAAUGGACAAUACAAAGGGCAGCGAAACCGCGAGGUCAAGCAAAUCCCAUAAAGUUGUUCUCAGUUCGGAUUGUAGUCUGCAACUCGACUACAUGAAGCUGGAAUCGCUAGUAAUCGUAGAUCAGCAUGCUACGGUGAAUACGUUCCCGGGUCU